UCCCGCGUGACGCAAUUGGUUAGCGUGUCAGACUUUUACAACAAAGUGAAUCUGAAAGUUACGAGUUCGAGUCUCGUCGUGGGAG